ACGCUCGACACCUACGGGGGGCAGCAGUGAGGAAUAUUGGUCAAUGGGCGCUAGCCUGAACCAGCCAAGUAGCGUGAAGGAUGAAGGCUCUAUGGGUCGUAAACUUCUUUUAUAUAAGAAUAAAGUGCAGUAUGUAUACUGUUUUGUAUGUAUUAUAUGAAUAAGGAUCGGCUAACUCCGUGCAGCAGCCGCGGUAAUCUGGAGGCCGGGCUGGACGAAGGC
rnacentral:rRNA from 1 species